ensembl:snRNA U6 U6 spliceosomal RNA
GUGCCUGCUUUGACAGCACUUAUACUAAAAUUAGCACAAGACAGAUAAGAUUAGCACUGCCUCUGCUUGAGAAUGACACGCAAAAAGCGCAUAAACAGCAAUUAUGG